rnacentral:rRNA from 1 species
GCUGAAUGUGGGGAUAAUUUAUCUCCGUGUUGUAGCUAACGCGUUAAGCACUCCGCCUGGGGACUACGGUCGCAAGACUAAAACUCAAAGGAAUUGACGGGGACCCGCACAAGCGGUGGAGCAUGUGGUUUAAUUCGAUGCGACGCGAAAAACCUUACCACUCCUUGACAUGGAGAUUAGAUCCUUCUUAACAGAAGGGCGCAGUUCGGCUGGAUCUCGCACAGGUGCUGCAUGGCUGUCGUCAGCUCGUGUCGUGAGAUGUUGGGUUAAGUCCCGCAACGAGCGUAACCCUCAUCCUUAGUUGCCAGCGGGUAAGCCGGGCACUUUAAGGAAACUGCCGGUGGUAAACCGGAGGAAGGUGGGGAUGAUGUCAAGUCAGCACGGCCCUUAUGGGGUGGGCUACACACGUGCUACAAUGGUGACUACAAUAGGUUGCAAUGUCGCAAGGCUGAGCUAAUCCGUAAAAGUCAUCUCAGUUCGGAUUGUCCUCUGCAACUCGAGGGCAUGAAGUCGGAAUCGCUAGUAAUCGUGGAUCAGCAUGCCACGGUGAAUACGUUCUCGGGUCUUGUACACACUGCCCGUCACGCCAUGGGAAUUGGCUUAACUCGAAGCUGGUGCGCUAACCGAAAGGAAGCAGCCAU